GGAACCUCAAUGGACCUUCCGGAUUCUUCUCACAUGCAUCCAUUUUAUCGAAACACUCAGCCAGAUAUUCCCCUUGUUGUGCAGCCACCUAAUAAAACAAGAUUAAAAAAAUUAAAAAAUUACGAGUUUUUUUUAUAAUUUUUUUAAAUAGUAUAAUAUUCUAGGCCAAAAUCCGAUGAAUCUGUUUUUUUAAUUUUUUUUUUGUUGUAUUACCUGUGCAGUUGCGGGGAGAUUUUUCAUCUGCGAAUCGACUUCGGAAAGUGCGAGCUUGAAUUUCUCAAUGUCCAGCUCAUCGUCUCCUUGUGAAUUUUUUAGGAGAUUAUUGAAGUUCUUAAGCUGCUUCUUCUUCAGAUGAAUUGCCACCUGUGGGUACCUCUCGCAUAUGUCGUUUAUCACUUCCUUAAAAUCGUCAACCUUAAGUCGACCCGUGUUUUUCUUGUCUGCUUUGUUGAAGAUGGCCGAAAUAUCCUCCUGGUAAUAUUAUAUCCGAAAUUCAGUCCCCCCGUUUUUUUUAUCAAGUAACGAACAAAAAUACUAUGGGUAAAAUACACGUAGUGCCCUGAGGUUAGGUUAUAUUACAACUAAACCCCUUCAAGUUUGGAAAGUUACAUAUACAUUCCUUCAGGUUUGGUUCCAGCCAACAAUUUACUACCUGAGAACGGUGAUCUCAACGAAAAAAUGAUUGUGAUUCUCUUUUUAUCAAUUUUAUCAUCAUUUUUAUCCUUUUAGACUUCAUUUAAAUAAAAAUAAAAAAAUAUCGAAAAAUACAAGUCCAAACCAAUCGGAAUUGAAAUUCAAUCGUUUUUGCGAAAAGAAAUGACGACUCUCUCCCUGGCCCUUAGACAGUAGUUUUUUUAAAAUAAAAAAAUAAAAUAAAAAUAAGAAUUAUGGUUAUGAUAAAAUUGUCAAUUGGUGCAUUUUGGUUGGGUUUAUGGAUGGAACAAAACCUCAAGGGAGAUAAAAUAUGUAAUUUUCGAAACAUGAGGGGUCUGGGUGUAACUUGUCGUAACCUCAGGGGAGGUGGAUGUAAUUUACCCAAAUAUUAAUCUACAUUGUGUCGAAACUUAUAAUGUGUAAUGAAAUCUUGAAAUAAUUCGAAAAGGAAAAAAAAGAAAGAACAUACCAUGACUCUACGUUGAUUUAUCGUGGCACAAUCACCUAAAGCGUAGAUGUCGUCGCAUCCUUCAACCCUAAGCCAUUCAUCAGUUGCUAAAACUCUCCUGUUUGUCUGAAUUCCAAGAGAGAGAUUAAGAAACACGUAUUAUUUAAAAGCUAUAAAAUACGUCUUAAGAGAGAGAGAGAGAGAGAGAGAGAGAGAGAGAGAGAGAGAGAGAGACCUGUCCAAUUUGCUUCAUGAAAUCCAUGACAACGGGUCGAGUUCCUAUACCGGUGGACCAGACAACCAUUCCAUACGGUAUAGAUACAGUUUGUCCAGUGGCUCUCUCUUUAGUACAUAUCUCCUUUUCACUAACCUUUGUCACCAUCGAACCAACUUUCAAGUUUAUACCGUCCCUCUGGAACUUCUCUUCCGCAAAAACCGUAAUCCUCUUGUCAAACCUGUGCAACAAAAAUACAAUUUUAAAAAUAAAAUAAAAAAUCUCGUACAUGAAUAUAAUUAAAAAAAAAAAAUUACAUGUUCAAAAUGUGAUCGCCAGCUUCGAGAAGAGUGAUUUUGACGUGUUCUUCGAGUGCAGGAUAAAGUUUGGCCAAAUCCUCGAUCACAUAAUCGUGAAGCUCUGCGGCAAACUCGACCCCUGUGGGCCCACCUCCAACAACAAC
rnacentral:lncRNA from 1 species